rnacentral:rRNA from 1 species
GACGAACGCUGGCGGCGUGCUUAACACAUGCAGGUCGAACGGAAAGGCCCUGCUUUUGUGGGGUGCUCGAGUGGCGAACGGGUGAGUAACACGUGAGUAACCUGCCCUUGACUUUGGGAUAACUUCAGGAAACUGGGGCUAAUACCGGAUAGGAGCUCCUGCUGCAUGGUGGGGGUUGGAAAGUUUCGGCGGUUGGGGAUGGACUCGCGGCUUAUCAGCUUGUUGGUGGGGUAGUGGCUUACCAAGGCUUUGACGGGUAGCCGGCCUGAGAGGGUGACCGGCCACAUUGGGACUGAGAUACGGCCCAGACUCCUACGGGAGGCAGCAGUGGGGAAUAUUGCACAAUGGGCGGAAGCCUGAUGCAGCAACGCCGCGUGCGGGAUGACGGCCUUCGGGUUGUAAACCGCUUUCGCCUGUGACGAAGCGUGAGUGAUGGUAAUGGGUAAAGAAGCACCGGCUAACUACGUG